UCAAUAUGAGUUCACGACCCCCCUUCACUCUCUCUCUGCGACCAUCUCCGGCGGCGGCAACCAUCUCCGACGGCGGUGACCAUUUUUAAUGGAUCUUCCUCCUCCUCUGCUUUCAUUAUAAAAUCGUAGUGGACUACCCUUCGUCUCAGUUCAACUCUCACCUCGCCGAAGCUCGGAAAUUAGGAGGAUAAGAAGUGGGUGGAGAUUGGGUGGGACGUGGGAGAGGAAAAUGAGGAGGAGAAGAAUAAAAGUUGGGGAGAGCCACGACCCUCGAUGCGGGCAACCCACGAUGCCUCGAAGGCCAACGAGUUCUCAGCAUAAACAAUGCACUGGUUGAUUUAUACGCCAAAUGUAAUGCCAUCGUGGAUGCAAAACGAGUCUUCUUUGGCAUGAGAACUCACGAUCAAGUUUCUUGGACUUCUAUAAUAUCUGGACUUUCCCAAAAUGGGCGUGGGAGCGAAGCCAUCUUCAUGUUUAAGGAAAUGUUGGUAACUCAGGKU